rnacentral:rRNA from 1 species
GAUGAACGCUGGCGGCGUGCCUAAUACAUGCAAGUCGAGCGAACGGACGAGAAGCUUGCUUCUCUGAUGUUAGCGGCGGACGGGUGAGUAACACGUGGAUAACCUACCUAUAAGACUGGGCUAACUUCGGGAAACCGGAGCUAAUACCGGAUAAUAUUUUGAACCGCAUGGUUCAAAAGUGAAAGACGGUCUUGCUGUCACUUAUAGAUGGAUCCGCGCUGCAUUAGCUAGUUGGUAAGGUAACGGCUUACCAAGGCGACGAUGCAUAGCCGACCUGAGAGGGUGAUCGGACACACUGGAACUGAGACACGGUCCAGACUCCUACGGGAGGCAGCAGUAGGGAAGCUUCCGCAAUGGGCGAAAGCCUGACGGAGCAACGCCGCGUGAGUGAUGAAGGUCUUCGGAUCGUAAAACUCUGUUAUUAGGGAAGAACAUAUGUGUAAGUAACUGUGCACAUCUUGACGGUACCUAAUCAGAAAGCCACGGCUAACUACGUG